rnacentral:lncRNA from 1 species
GAUUUAAAAAACAUUCAGCAUGGAAACGAAGCACAAUGAUGUCAAGAUCACAGACUACCUUUGUGACCAGGACAUGAGGAGCCUCAUGACAGUCUGCAGAAAGAGCAGGAUGCUUUAGCUCCUGUACUUCCUCUGAAUAAACACAGAACAGCAUUUUAUUGGUGGAGGCUCAUUGGAAAACCACAACUGCAGUCAUGCUGAAUCACGAACUAGACCAGCCGUCCUAGCGAGUUAGCGACAAUAUAUUUCAAAGUUAAAACACAGGCUGUGGCGGUGGAUAUCAAAACCUGUAAUUUCGGAUGCAAAUGAAUGGAAUGAAAAAUGGCCCCUGGCUACCAGGACAGACAGAAGAAUAUGUGAGCGAAAUAACAGAAGAAUAUUUGAGUGAAAUAACAUGGCAGUUAUGUCAAAGUGAGAAGAAUAACUGUAUUCUAGAAUAGUAAAUUAUUAUCACAGCUCAACCGGUGGAGAAACCCAGAAGGCAAGAGAUUAAAGAAGGGAAAGAUGGCUUUUUCACUGGGACCGAGGAAGAUCAAAAAUGAUGACACCGGUAGAGAAAGGGCUUAGCACCACCUUUCACAGAGCUAGACAGAGGACUGUUGAUACCAUUUCAUCUUCCCAUGUGGGAUAUGCACCCCUUACAAGGUCACAGUUACAGGACGAAGAGGUUGUGAAGCGGUCCCCUAUGGCAAGUGCGAAAUGCCUUUGAUGUGGUGGGUGCAGCAUCCCGGCCGACAGACACACUUAAUCCACCAGGUCUUUGAUUUCAUAGUUUGGUUGAGAGGAAAUUUAUUUUCAAGAAUGUUCUCUGCUCAGGUACUCAGUCACUGCCUGAAUCAACGGAAAUGGAAAUCAGGCUCUCUUCAAAGAUUUUCUCUAACAUAUGAAGGGACAUCACUCAUGUUCAGGAACUAUCCAUGCACCGUCUAUUGCAUCUUCCUUGCCAAAACCAUCAAUACUGCUUCAACAUACGUCAUCAUUGACAAUACACAGCCAUCAUCUAUAAGAAUCAUUGCUGUGGGACCUGAACAACUCUGAGAUAGGUAUAGUGCAGGGUGGAUUGUUCAUGUGAGCCAUUCUUCAGGCUAAUAGAAGGAUUAACCUUGUGAAGAACCUGAAGGACAUGGCCCAUCAUCUCCUGUGUGUCCACUACAUGGCAUCAGAGUGACCCUGUAGCCAGAGAUGCUAAUCAUUUUUGUUUCCAAGUUUGUUUUUUUUUUUUU